rnacentral:rRNA from 1 species
UGCAGCCGCGGUAAUUCCAGCUCCAAUAGCGUAUAUUAAAGUUGCUGCAGUUAAAAAGCUCGUAGUUGAAUUUCGGGACUAAUAUGUCGGUCGUGCCUCGGUACGUACUGGCUUAUUGGUUUCUCCUUUCUGAAGAACCAUGAUGUCAUUUAUUUGGUGUCGUGGGGAAUCAGGACUGUUACUUUGAAAAAUUGAGUGUUUAAAGCAGGCUUUAGCUUGAAUACAUUAGCAUGGAAUAAUGAAAUAGGACGUUCGAACCUAUUUUGUUGGUUUCUAGGAUCAACGUAAUGAUUAAUAGGGAUAGUUGGGGGCAUUAGUAUUCAAUUGUCAGAGGUGAAAUUCUUGGAUUUAUUGAAGACUAACUACUGCGAAAGCAUUUGCCAAGGAUGUUUUCAUUAAUCAAGAACGAAAGUUAGGGGAUCGAAGACGAUCAGAUACC